GACGAACGCUGGCGGCGUGCUUAACACAUGCAAGUCGAACGAUUUAGUCGUCGGUCAUCAGACGUCAGACGUCAGGGGAACGAAUGGAACUGAAGAAAGAACUCGCUUUAGCGAAAUCUAUUCCGAAACCCUUACGACCGAUGUCCGAUGACUGACGACCGAAUAGUGGCGGACGGGUGAGUAACGCGUGGGCAACCUACCCAUAAGAGGGGGAUAACAGCUGGAAACGGCUGCUAAUACCGCAUAAGCUUUUUAGGACACAUGUUUUAGAAAGUAAAGGAGGCUUUAGCUUCCGCUUAUGGAUGGGCCCGCGUCUGAUUAGCUAGUUGGUAGGGUAACGGCCUACCAAGGCAACGAUCAGUAGCCGGCCUGAGAGGGUGGACGGCCACACUGGGACUGAGACACGGCCCAGACUCCUACGGGAGGCAGCAGUGGGGAAUAUUGCGCAAUGGGGGAAACCCUGACGCAGCGACGCCGCGUGAGCGAAGAAGGCCUCGGUGUAAGCUCUGUGUAGGA
rnacentral:rRNA from 1 species